rnacentral:rRNA from 1 species
GACGAACGCUGGCGGCGUGCUUAACACAUGCAAGUCGAACGGAAAGGCCCUGCUUUUGUGGGGUGCUCGAGUGGCGAACGGGUGAGUAACACGUGAGUAACCUGCCCUUGACUUUGGGAUAACUUCAGGAAACUGGGGCUAAUACCGGAUAGGAGCUCCUGCUGCAUGGUGGGGGUUGGAAAGUUUCGGCGGUUGGGGAUGGACUCGCGGCUUAUCAGCUUGUUGGUGGGGUAGUGGCUUACCAAGGCUUUGACGGGUAGCCGGCCUGAGAGGGUGACCGGCCACAUUGGGACUGAGAUACGGCCCAGACUCCUACGGGAGGCAGCAGUGGGGAAUAGUGCACAAUGGGCGGAAGCCUGAUGCAGCAACGCCGCGGGCGGGAUGACGGCCUUCGGGUUGUAAACCGCUUUCGCCUGUGACGAAGCGUGAGUGACGGUAAUGGGUAAAGAAGCACCGGCUAACUACGUG